GACGAACGCUGGCGGCGUGCCUAAUACAUGCAAGUAGAACGCACAGUUUAUACCGUAGCUUGCUACACCAUAGACUGUGAGUUGCGAACGGGUGAGUAACGCGUAGGUAACCUGCCUGGUAGCGGGGGAUAACUAUUGGAAACGAUAGCUAAUACCGCAUAAUAUUGAUUAUUGCAUGAUAAUUAAUUGAAAGGUGCAAUUGCACCACUACCAGAUGGACCUGCGUUGUAUUAGCUAGUAGGUGAGGUAACGGCUCACCUAGGCGACGAUACAUAGCCGACCUGAGAGGGUGAUCGGCCACACUGGGACUGAGACACGGCCCAGACUCCUACGGGAGGCAGCAGUAGGGAAUCUUCGGCAAUGGACGAAAGUCUGACCGAGCAACGCCGCGUGAGUGAAGAAGGUUGUCGGAUCGUAAAGCUCUGUUGUAAGAGAAGAACGGGUGUGAGAGUGGAAAGUUCACACUGUGACGGUAUCUGACCAGAAAGGGACGGCUAACUACGUG
rnacentral:rRNA from 1 species